rnacentral:rRNA from 1 species
CAAUAGCGUAUAUUUAAGUUGUUGCAGUUAAAAAGCUCGUAGUUGGAUUUCGGAUGGGAUUUGCCGGUCCGUCGUUACGAUGUGCACUGGCCAGUCCUAUCUUGUUGUCGGGGACUAGCUCCUUGGAUUCACUUCCUGGGACUAGGAGCUGACGAGGUUACUUUGAGUAAAUUAGAGUGUUCAAAGCAAGCCUACGCUCUGAAUACAUUAGCAUGGAAUAAUACGAUAGGACUCUGGCUUAUCUUGUUGGUCUGUGAGACCAGAGUAAUGAUUAAGAGGGACAGUCGGGGACAUUCGUAUUUCAUUGUCAGAGGCGAAAUUCUUGGAUUUAUGAAAGACGAACUUCUGCGAAAGCAUUUGUCAAGGAUGUUUUCAUUAA